rnacentral:rRNA from 1 species
AGAGAUGUGUGAUGACGCAUAUCAAUAAGCGGAGGAAAAGAAACUAACAAGGAUUCCCUUAGUAACGGCGAGUGAAGCGGGAAGAGCUCAAAUUUGAAAUCUUCAAGGUUCUACCUUGACGAAUUGUAGUUUAUAGAAGUGUUUUCUGUUAGUGGAGUGGCAAAAGUUCUUUGGAAUAGGACAUCAUAGAGGGUGAGAAUCCCGUAUUUGGUCAUUCCUCCUAGCGUUGUGAUACACUUUCAACGAGUCGGAUUGUUUGGGAAUGCAGUCCAAAAUGGGUGGUAAAUUUCAUCUAAAGCUAAAUAUUGGCGAGAGACCGAUAGCGAACAAGUACCGUGAGGGAAAGAUGAAAAGAACUUUGAAAAGAGAGUUAAACAGUACGUGAAAUUGUCAAAAGGGAAGCGUUUGACACCAGUGUUGUUUUUCCGAAAAUCAAUUACGAAUGUUUUGUUUUUAAGGAGUUAUGACUUCAUCGGCUUGCUUCUUUCUUUAUGAAACUUUCUUAAUGCACUUUUCGGUUAACAAGUCAACAGCAAUUUCUUUUGUUGUAAAAGGGUAUGAGGAAGGUGGCUUUCUUUUCGGAGAAAGUGUUUAUAGCCUUGUGCCUCUGCAAUCGGAGAGAUUGAGGUCUGCAGCGUAGAUCCUUCGGGGUUAGAUACGUUUGUGCUAAGUUAUAGCUUUUCAUAGACAACUUGUUGACUAUGUUUAGUCUUGUAGCUUACUCGCUGACGCUAUUUUACCUACGCUUAGGAUGUUGACGCAUGAGAUAUACGC